rnacentral:rRNA from 1 species
UCCCAGACUCCUACGGGAGGCAGCAGUGGGGGAUAUUGCACAAUGGGGGGAACCCUGAUGCAGCGACGCCGCGUGGGUGAAGGAGUGCUUCGGCAUGUAAAGCCCUAUCGGCAGGGAAGAAGCAAGACGGUACCUGACUAAGAAGCCCCGGCUAACUACGUGCCAGCAGCCGCGGGAAUACGUAGGGGGCAAACGUUAUCCGGAUUUACUGGGUGUAAAGGGAGCGUAGACGGCAGAGCAAGUCUGAAGUGAAAGCCCGCGGCCCAACUGCGGGACUGCUUUGGAAACUGCCCGGCUAGAGUGCUGGAGAGGUAAGCGGAAUUCCUAGUGUAGCGGUGAAAUGCGUAGAUAUUAGGAGGAACACCAGUGGCGAAGGCGGCUUACUGGACAGUAACUGACGUUGAGGCUCGAAAGCGUGGGGAGCAAACAGGAUUAGAUACCCGCGUAU